GAUGAACGCUGGCGGCGUGCCUAAUACAUGCAAGUCGAGCGAACGGACGAGAAGCUUGCUUCUCUGAUGUUAGCGGCGGACGGGUGAGUAACACGUGGAUAACCUACCUAUAAGACUGGGAUAACUUCGGGAAACCGUAGCUAAUACCGGAUGAUAUUUUGAACCGCAUGGUUCAAAAGUGAAAGACGGUCUUGCUGUCACUUAUAGAUGGAUCCGCGCUGCAUUAGCUAGUUGGUAAGGUAACGGCUUACCAAGGCAACGAUGCAUAGCCGACCUGAGAGGGUGAUCGGCCACACUGGAACUGAGACACGGUCCAGACUCCUACGGGAGGCAGCAGUAGGGAAUCUUCCGCAAUGGGCGAAAGCCUGACGGAGCAACGCCGCGUGAGUGAUGAAGGUCUUCGGAUCGUAAAACUCUGUCAUUAGGGAAGAACAUAUGUGUAAGUAACUGUGCACAUCUUGACGGUACCUAAUCAGAAAGCCACGGCUAACUACGUG
rnacentral:rRNA from 1 species